UACGUAGGGGGCAAGCGUUGUCCGGAUUUAUUGGGCGUAAAGAGCGUGUAGGCGGCCAGACAGGUCAGCUGUGAAAACUCGAGGCUCAACCUCGAGACGUCGGCGGAAACCAUCUGGCUAGAGUCCGGAAGAGGAGAGUGGAAUUCCUGGUGUAGCGGUGAAAUGCGCAGAUAUCAGGAAGAACACCCGUGGCGAAGGCGGCGUCUCUGGGACGGUACUGACGCUGAGACGCGAAAGCGUGGGGAGCGAACAGG
rnacentral:rRNA from 1 species